rnacentral:rRNA from 1 species
AGCGGAGGAAAAGAAACCAACCGGGAUUGCCUUAGUAACGGCGAGUGAAGCGGCAAAAGCUCAAAUUUGAAAUCUGGUACCUUCGGUGCCCGAGUUGUAAUUUGGAGAGGGCAACUUUGGGGCCGUUCCUUGUCUAUGUUCCUUGGAACAGGACGUCAUAGAGGGUGAGAAUCCCGUGUGGCGAGGAGUGCGGUUCUUUGUAAAGUGCCUUCGAAGAGUCGAGUUGUUUGGGAAUGCAGCUCUAAGUGGGUGGUAAAUUCCAUCUAAAGCUAAAUAUUGGCGAGAGACCGAUAGCGAACAAGUACAGUGAUGGAAAGAUGAAAAGAACUUUGAAAAGAGAGUGAAAAAGUACGUGAAAUUGUUGAAAGGGAAGGGCAUUUGAUCAGACAUGGUGUUUUGUGCCCUCUGCUCCUUGUGGGUAGGGGAAUCUCGCAUUUCACUGGGCCAGCAUCAGUUUUGGUGGCAGGAUAAAUCCAUAGGAAUGUAGCUUGCCUCGGUAAGUAUUAUAGCCUGUGGGAAUACUGCCAGCUGGGACUGAGGACUGC